rnacentral:rRNA from 1 species
UAACGCGUGGAUGAUCUACCUACGAGAUGGGGAUAACUAUUAGAAAUAGUAGCUAAUACCGAAUAAAGUCAAUUAAUUUGUUAAUUGAUGAAAGGAAGCCUUUAAAGCUUCGCUUGUAGAUGAGUCUGCGUCUUAUUAGCUAGUUGGUAGGGUAAAUGCCUACCAAGGCGAUGAUAAGUAACCGGCCUGAGAGGGUGAACGGUCACACUGGAACUGAGAUACGGUCCAGACUCCUACGGGAGGCAGCAGCUAAGAAUCUUCCGCAAUGGGCGAAAGCCUGACGGAGCGACACUGCGUGAAUGAAGAAGGUCGAAAGAUUGUAAAAUUCUUUUAUAAAUGAGGAAUAAGCUUUGUAGGAAAUGACAAAGUGAUGACGUUAAUUUAUGAAUAAGCCCCGGCUAAUUACGUGCCAGCAGCCGCGGUAAUACGUAAGGGGCGAGCGUUGUUCGGGAUUAUUGGGCGUAAAGGGUGAGUAGGCGGAUAUAUAAGUCUAUGCAUAAAAUACCACAGCUCAACUGUGGAACUAUGUUGGAAACUAUAUGUCUAGAGUCUGAUAGAGGAAGUUAGAAUUUCUGGUGUAAGGGUGGAAUCUGU